rnacentral:rRNA from 1 species
AAAGAUCGAAUAGGGAGAUUCAUCGACAACGAAGGCUGGCUUCCGUUGAUGUGCGAUACCCCGAAUGGACCAUCCGUGGUUUUCAAUGCGAGGGCACACCAUCUUCGGCAAAUGUUCCGGCAACGUAGUCGUGCACUUCUCCCUUUGUAGAACGUCGCGACCCGUUGCGUGUCGGUCUACGGCUCGAGUUGUUGCCUGUCGCGUCGCCUUUGUGCGUUCACGGCAGACGCUCGGUGUCCCGGCCGGCUGCGCGACGGUACUCUGACGGUAUCGGGCCGCAACAAAUUUUCCCGUUUCUCUCACGAGAUUCGGGGACAUAUGCGUCAGGCCCGCCGCAAGCUCGGCUAGUAAUUACCCGGAUGGUACGGACCUGGUGCCGGCUCCGGGCCUAGCCAGCUGUUGGCAGGCGGUGUCCUCGGACUGGCCAAGCUUUGAAUUACCGGUCAGCGACGCUACUGCUUUGGGUCCUCUCAGGACCCGUCUUGAAACACGGACCAAGGAGUCUAACAUGUGCGCGAGUCAUUGGGACUUGUGAAACCUAAAGGCAUAAUGAAAGUAAAAGUCGAUCUUUGCAUCGAGUGAGGGAGGAUGGGCCGCGUCACGAUGCGGCCUCGCACUCCCGGGGCGUCUCGUUCUCAUUGCGAGAAGAG